rnacentral:piRNA from 1 species
UUUUAGGAUGCAAUGAUGCAAUGAAGGUGA